GAUGAACGCUAGCUACAGGCUUAACACAUGCAAGUCGAGGGGCAGCAUGGUCUUAGCUUGCUAAGGCCGAUGGCGACCGGCGCACGGGUGAGUAACACGUAUCCAACCUGCCGUCUACUCUUGGACAGCCUUCUGAAAGGAAGAUUAAUACAAGAUGGCAUCAUGAGUCCACAUGUUCACAUGAUUAAAGGUAUUCCGGUAGACGAUGGGGAUGCGUUCCAUUAGAUAGUAGGCGGGGUAACGGCCCACCUAGUCUUCGAUGGAUAGGGGUUCUGAGAGGAAGGUCCCCCACAUUGGAACUGAGACACGGUCCAAACUCCUACGGGAGGCAGCAGUGAGGAAUAUUGGUCAAUGGGCGAGAGCCUGAACCAGCCAAGUAGCGUGAAGGAUGACUGCCCUAUGGGUUGUAAACUUCUUUUAUAAAGGAAUAAAGUCGGGUAUGGAUACCCGUUUGCAUGUACUUUAUGAAUAAGGAUCGGCUAACUCCGUGCCAGCAGCCGCGGUAAUACGGAGGAUCCGAGCGUUAUCCGGAUUUAUUGGGUUUAAAGGGAGCGUAGAUGGAUGUUUAAGUCAGUUGUGAAAGUUUGCGGCUCAACCGUAAAAUUGCAGUUGAUACUGGAUAUCUUGAGUGCAGUUGAGGCAGGCGGAAUUCGUGGUGUAGCGGUGAAAUGCUUAGAUGUCACGAAGAACUCCGAUUGCGAAGGCAGCCUGCUAAGCUGCAACUGACAUUGAGGCUCGAAAGUGUGGGUAUCAAACAGGAUUAGAUACCCUGGUAGUCCACACGGUAAACGAUGAAUACUCGCUGUUUGCGAUAUACAGCAAGCGGCCAAGCGAAAGCGUUAAGUAUUCCACCUGGGGAGUACGCCGGCAGCGGUGAAACUCAAAGGAAUUGACGGGGGCCCGCACAAGCGGAGGAACAUGUGGUUUAAUUCGAUGAUACGCGAGGAACCUUACCCGGGCUUAAAUUGCAGAUGAAUUACGGUGAAAGCCGUAAGCCGCAAGGCAUCUGUGAAGGUGCUGCAUGGUUGUCGUCAGCUCGUGCCGUGAGGUGUCGGCUUAAGUGCCAUAACGAGCGCAACCCUUGUUGUCAGUUACUAACAGGUUCCGCUGAGGACUCUGACAAGACUGCCAUCGUAAGAUGUGAGGAAGGUGGGGAUGACGUCAAAUCAGCACGGCCCUUACGUCCGGGGCUACACACGUGUUACAAUGGGGGGUACAGAGGGCCGCUACCACGCGAGUGGAUGCCAAUCCCAAAAACCUCUCUCAGUUCGGACUGGAGUCUGCAACCCGACUCCACGAAGCUGGAUUCGCUAGUAAUCGCGCAUCAGCCACGGCGCGGUGAAUACGUUCCCGGGCCU
rnacentral:rRNA from 1 species